AAUGUCGUAACAAGGUCUCCGUAGGUGAACCUGCGGAGGGGAUCAUUUACAGGAGUUCAUGCCCCUAACCGGGGUUAGAUCUCCCCAACCCUAUGUUAUCAUUACCAUGUUGCUUUGGCGGGGCCGUCGGGCUCACGCUCGGCUACCGGCUCCGGCUGGUAAGCGCCCGCCAGAGGACCUCAAAGCCCUGAAUAUUCGUGUCGUCUGAGUACCAUAUAAUAGUUAAAAAC
rnacentral:misc_RNA from 1 species